GACGAACGCUGGCGGCGUGCCUAAUACAUGCAAGUCGAGCGGAAAGGCCCGGCUCUUGUGGCGUGCUCGUGUGCCGAACGCGUGUGUAUCACGCGUGUAACCUGUCCCUGUCAUUGGGAUAAAACCAGGAAACACGGGUGCAAAUCGCGCAUAAGCUCUUGCUGCACGGGGUGGGAUGGUGAGAUUCGGCGUUUCGGGAUGGACUCGCGGUCUAUCAGCUUGUUGGUGAGGUAGUGGCGUACCAAGGCUUCGACGGGUAGCCGGCCUGAGAGGGUGACCGGCCACAAUGGGACUGAGGUAGGGGCCAGACUGCAACGGGAGGCAGAGGUGGAAAAUAUUACGCAAUAGGCGGAAGCCUGAUACAGCGACGCCGGGUGCGAAAUAACGGCUUUUGGGGUAGAAACCGCUUUCGACUGUAACGAAGCGUAAGUGACGGUAAUGAGUAAGGAAGCGACGGCUAACUACGUG
rnacentral:rRNA from 1 species